CCUACGGGUGGCAGCAGUGAGGAAUAUUGGUCAAUGGACGGAAGUCUGAACCAGCCAUGCCGCGUGCAGGAAGACGGCUCUAUGAGUUUUAAACUGCUUUUGUACAAGGGUAAACCUGAAUACGUGUAUUCAGCUGAAAGUACUGUACGAAUAAGGAUCGGCUAACUCCGUGCCAGCAGCCGCGGUAAUACGGAGGAUCCAAGCGUUAUCCGGAUUUAUUGGGUUUAAAGGGUUGCGUAGGUGGCAUAAUAAGUAGCUAGUGAAAUCUGGUGGCUCAACCAUUCAGACUAUUAGCUAAACUGUUAAGCUCGAGACCGUGAGGAGUAACUGGAAUGUCUGGUGUAGGAGUGAAAUCCGUAGAUAUUAGAAGGAACACCGAUAGCGUAGGCAGGUUACUGGGACGGUUCUGACACUAAGGCACGAAAGCGUAGGGAGCGAACGGGAUUAGAUACCCCAGUAGUC
rnacentral:rRNA from 1 species